rfam:Oryza nivara chromosome 2, whole genome shotgun sequence.
AAAAAAGCAAACCUUAAAUUUUCGUGCCAACGUUUGACUGUUUGUUUUAUAUAAAAAAAUUUAUAAUUAAUAUUUUCAUUGUUGUCAGAUGAUAAAACAUGAUUAAUACUUUAUACGUGACUUAUCUUUUUAAUUUUUUUCAUAAUUUUUUCAAAUAAUAUGGACGGUCAAACGUUGAACAUGAAAAUCAAGGUUUGUCUUUUU